rnacentral:lncRNA from 1 species
GAGAUCAUCUAGGAUAGACUCGAACACAUCUCAAGAGUAAUCAAGACGGUGAUUUAGGAGUCAUAACAUGCUUCAAAUGAAACUGCAAAUAAGAUGUUUAUCUUCGUGAAAAGAAAAUAAAUAAAAAAACUUAGUAUUCUUGAGACCAAAGCUGGAUCUGAGCACAGUUCCAUAAAACAUAAGUUCAAUUUUCGUAUAAAAAUAUCUGCCUUUCAUUUUAUUGAAGAGAAAACCUCCCCCCAUUUGAACAAGAUGUUUAUCUUCGUGAAAAGAAAAUAAAAAAAACUUAGUAUUCUUGAGACCAAAGUCGGAUCUGAGCACAGUUCCAUAAAACAUAAGUUUUGGCCUUUAAAUUUUUGAAAAUUAUAUACAUAAAUAUAGACCUCCAAACUAUGGGUUUUACUAUUAUUAAAGUUAUUAAAUCUUCAUACUCUCUAAAUUUUUAGAUUUGGUCCUGCUUGGGACUGACAUGUAAUUGGAGAUUUUAUAUAGUACAUUUUUAUUGUUCAAAUGGAAGUAUCCCUCAGCACAAUUAAAGAAACUAGAGAUUUUUUCCGCGCUUCGCGCGGAUUGUGUCUUAUAAAUUUAUUUUAUUUAUAAUAUUAUUUGUCGAUUUUUUUCUUUUACAUUAAUUUUUUGUUUUUCCAAUGUUAGUUUUUCUUAAUUUAAAUUUAUAUGUUUAUAGUUUUUCUUUUUUCUGGUUGUAGAUGGAGAAUUAUAUUUUUUAUUGAUGGUUUUUGUAUGUGACAUAAACUUUUUGAAAUUUUAAAAUAAUGUUAUAUAUAGUACAAUUAACACAUUAAAGAAGAGAAACAUAUUUAAGCAUAUUUUAUACAGGUUUUAUAUACAUAAUUUUAAACAUUAUAUAUGUAUAUAUUAUAAGUUUGAAACAUGUAAAUGCUUUCUAAAGUUAAAUACUUGUUCUGAGUUUACAUAACUUAUCGAAAGUUUUAUCUUUUUUAAAUUUAAAUCACAGAAAAAAUC